rnacentral:rRNA from 1 species
CAGCGCCACGAGUGGUAACCACGUUUAUUGGGCCUAAAGCGUCCGUAGCCGGUUUAGUAAAUCUUUUGUGAAAUUGUGCGGCUCAACCGUACAACGUGCAAGAGACACUGCUAAACUCGAGACCGGGAGGAGUCAGAAGUAUUCCAGGGGGAGCGGUAAAAUGUUAUAAUCCCUGGAGGACUACCUGUGGCGAAGGCGUCUGACCAGAACGGAUCUGACGGUGAGGGACGAAAGCCAGGGGAGCGAACCGGAUUAGAUACCCGCGUAGUCC